UUUUGGGGCUGGGGAGGUGGUCUUGGGGUUGGGGGGUUGGUCUUUGUGACUGGGGAGUUGGUCUUUGGGGCUGGGGAGGUGGUAGUGGCGCUGGGGGUUUGGUUUUUGGGGCUGGGGAGAUGGUCUUUAGGGCUGGGGAGGUGGUCUUUGGGGCUGUGGAGGUGGUCUCUGGGGCUGUGGAGGUGGUCUCUGGGGCUGGGGAGGUGGUUUUGGGGCUGGGGAGGUGGUCAUGGGGCUGGGGAGAUGGUCUUGGGGCUGGGGAGGUGGUCUUGGGGCUGGGGAGAUGGUCUCGGGGCUCGGGGGUUGGUCUUUGGGACUGGGGGUUGGUCUUUGGGGCUGGGGAGGUGGUCUUUUGGAUGGGGAGGUGGUCUUUGGUGUUGGGAAGGUGAUCUUUGCAGCUGGGGAGGUUGUCUAGGGGCAGGGGAGGUGAACUAGGGGCUGGGGAGGUGGUCUAGGGGCUGGGGAAGUGGUCUUGAGGCUGGAGUGGUGGCCUAGAGUCUGGGGAGGUGGUCUUUGGGGCUCGGGAGGUGGUCUAGGGGCUGGGGAGGUGGGCUAGGGGCUGGGGAGGUGGGCUAGGGGCAGGGGAGGUGGGCUAGGGGCUGGGGAGGUGGGCUAGGGGCUGGUGAGGUGGCCCAGUGGCUGGGGAGGUGGUCUAGGGGCUGUGGAUGAGGUCUUUGGGGCUGGGGAAGUGGUCUUUGGGGCUGGGGAGGUGGUCUUGGGGCUGGGGAGGUGGUCUUUGGGGCUGGGGAGGUGGUCUAGGCACUGAGGAGGUGGUCUUGAAGCUGGGGAGGUGGUCUUUGGGGCUGGGGAGGUGGUCGUUGGGGCUGGGGAGGUGGUCUUUGGGGCAGGGGAGGUGGACUAAGGGCUGAGUAUGUGGUCUUGGGGCUUGGGAGGUGGUCUAGGGGGUGGGGAGGUAGUUGUUGGGGCUGGGGAGGUGACCUUUGGGGCUGGGGUUGUGGUCUAGGGGCUGGGAAGGUAGUCUUUGGCGCUAGGUAUUUGGUCUUGGGGAUGGGGAGGUGGUCUAGGGGUUCGGGAGGUGGUCUUGGAGCUGGGAUUGGUCUAGGGGAUGGGGAGGUUGUCUACGGGCUCGAGAGGUGGUCUU